rnacentral:lncRNA from 1 species
UUUAGUGCAACUGUAAGGGAAGUCUUUCCAGCCUCCCUGAUAUUUGAAAUAAGCUGAGUACUUGGCUGGCAACCUGGAAGGCUUGGUUUCCACCAUAUUCUAUUGAUAGAGCCAAGGCUUUGCAUUUACAGACACAGGCUGAGCAUGUGACUCCCUGCCCAAACUUUUCCCAACUCCCCUGUCCCUCAGCAUAAAGGCCACUCUCCUUAGAGGGACAUUCUUAGAGGUCUCUGUGUUCAGGGACCCAGUCCACCCUUGGGACCCUGUUCCUGUGUGACCAGUACCAUGUGCCAUUCUUAAAACAUGAGGUUUGUCCCAGGAUUACUGUCACAGUCCUUCCAUGUGGAUAGGCCCUUCAUCCUGUCCCCUUGGACAACUCCUGCUUACCUAGGAAUCAGAGCAAUUACAUCCUCUGCUGUCCUCCAAGUCCUGACAGCAGCAGUCACUCCCUCAAGCACCAGUAGAGGGACAAUGAUGACCAAUAAUAAUGCCGAUAGAGCCAGUAUUUGGUGUCAUUGUACUUGGUAUGGAAGCUACAGUUGAGUGUGCUGGGCACUGGCUGCACUCUCAUUUUUCCACUAGAGUGAGACUCUAGUGACUCCGCUUGAGAGCUAGUGGCCUUGGGUCUCGCAGAGGCUAAGGGCCAGCCUGCACUUAUUCAGCUAGUCGUUAGUGGAGCAGAAUUUGAACUCAGCCUGUCUGCGCCUGCGCUGCACCACAAGGGUAAACUCAUCAUGCUAUUUAGGAAUUAUUUUUCUGCAAGAACCUGGGAGCCAGGACCAUGUCCCCAUCUUGAUUUCCCAGCACCUGGCAUAGUGCACAAGAGAUAUGGUAAGUAGAUGAAUGGGUGGAUGGACAGAAGAGGGACACACAGAUAGAUGGAGAACUUAUGUAAAGCCAGGAAUCCAGUUGACCUCCCAGGAAAUCCUUGGAGGCCCAAAGGAUAGACAUAGACAGCAGGUGGGCCUCCUGGCUUACCUCAGGCCUUGGCACCUGAAAGGCAGAGACAGUUUGGGACAAGCUGAUUGCUCUCUGUGUUUUCUCCCUGCCAUCCCACCCUACCUGGUGCAUUGCUGUAUGGAUGGCAGAUGUUUGCAGAGGAGGAGGCUGAGCUGACCCGCGAUACAUCCCCAGAGAAGUUGCAUCAGUACCGCCAGGUGCAUCUCCUGCCAGGCCUGCGAGAACAGGGCUGGUGUGAGAUCACAGCCCGCCUCCUGGCUCUGCCAGAGCAUGAUGCGCGCGAAAAGGUGCUUCAGACGCUGGGAGCCCUCCUGGCCACCUGUCGGGACCUCUAUCAUCAGGACCCCCAGCUCAGCAGGACACUGAGCAGCCUGCAGGCUGAGUACCAGGCACUGGCUGCCCUGGAGCUCCAAGAAGGGGAGGAUGAAGGAUACUUCCGAGAACUGCUGGCCUCCAUCAACAGCCUGCUGAAGGAGCUUAGAUGAGACUCUGGCCCUGAUGCCAGGACUGGACUGAGAUUCUGCUAAUGAGGCUGAGGGCUCCCAGCAAGGUAGUCCUCCAGGGGACAUCAGGCAGGAGGGAAGAUUUCCCUACUGGGGCAUGAACUUCACC